UACGUAGGGGGCAAGCGUUGUCCGGAUUUACUGGGCGUAAAGCGCGUGUAGGCGGCUACGCAGGUCCGUUGUGAAAACUGGAGGCUCAACCUCCAGACGUCGACGGAAACCGUGUGGCUAGAGUCCGGAAGAGGAGAGUGGAAUUCCUGGUGUAGCGGUGAAAUGCGCAGAUAUCAGGAAGAACACCAAUGGCGAAGGCAGCUCUCUGGGACGGUACUGACGCUGAGACGCGAAAGCGUGGGGAGCGAACAGGAUUAG
rnacentral:rRNA from 1 species